rnacentral:misc_RNA from 1 species
GCAGCAGUAAAGUGGAUC